GUAUCAGCAUAUAUCCGGCGGAAGCUUGUAGAACGCUGUGAAUGUUUAACGGUAUCAGGCCGCAUAACAGAUGUAUUGGCGUUACGUGCCUGAAAUGCAAUUUCCAUUUAUCGGCACUUUAAAAGCGUUGCCCCUCGAUACCAGCGGUACGAUGUCGAUGCUCGAACUAGAGCAACAUAAUACAUAAGUUAUACUGAGAUUAAAAUAAAUCUACGGUGAUAGAAACGGGUCUUAAUUAGACUUCGGUCAAAGUCAGACGCUGACAGAUAUAAUUAGAAGCCAGCACUUAUGUUACGUUAACAAGGAUAAGAUGUGUUUCAUCCCUCUCCUCCUCUUUUAAAUGCACGUAAGAGAAUUUAUAAAAAAUAUAUUCUUGUUCUGAUCCGUACCACAACAUAGACUCAUCCAAAGCUCUCAUUAAACUUGCGUGUUUCUUUACAAGUUGUGAUUAACGUGGGAGCCAAGGAAAUCUAUAUAAAGAGAAGCUAAUCGAUAGUUUAACAAUAUCAUGUUACAUUGAAGCGAAUGAGGAAGAAUGGAGGAAAGAAGACGUCUUUCUGGAGAUGUUACUUUGUUUUUCGUAAAGGCUGCUUUAGCAAAAUUGCGAAUCGUCAAAGUCGACGAUCGUGCUUGACAAGACAAAUGGGGAAACGAGGGAAUCAGGACAACAAAUAUAGAUUUUUGUUUUGUCUUGGAAAAAUUCGAUGAAAUUUCAAAAUAGUAAUUAAGCAGUAGCAGAAUUUACCAGCUAACAGUGCGCGUCGAAACAAUUUUCCAAGUUACACGGCGAAAUUAUUUUCCCGUGCGCGAACUAGCCGUGGGCGAUACCGGUAUGUAGAAUGCACAGCGUAUCGGGUUUCGCAUUCAGUAUUCGUCCAUUCAGUAUUUAAUUUAAUGUUCGUUAACGACUUUUUAAUACUUUUCGCACAGCGGGUCGAACGGGUCCCGUUAAACCGGAGGCUGGAUGCAUUCUACCAGAAAAUGACGCCGGAAAAAGUGACGAACGUCUUAAUGGCGAUGAAAGAUCGCGGUGCGGCAGUUUCUUCUGGAAACUCGCGCAAUGCGAGAGCAAACCUGUGUCACACAUGCUCUAAGAAGCGCCGGUGAUUUUCCCAAGCGAUUUUCCCCGUGACCCUGAAUUAUUAAUAAAACGGUACACAGAGAUUAUAAAGGUGUAUUUGCACGGCAACUCCCGACGUUUAUCUUAAUUGUAACGCAAAUUGUGUUUCGCGUACCGUGUACCUUUACCUUAGAACGAAACACUGUUUUGCUUCGAAAGUACCUUCCAACUUUGAAGUUUUCCCGUAAAUUUAAUAGCAGUCUCUCAAAGGAGAUAAAAAUUUAAAUAUCAAGGAUAUCAAGGAUGGGUAAUAAAAGAGCAAGGGCGUAGCAUCAGCUACGUGCACGAGAUUUCUCUCAGACACGGAUCUCUAACUCUUUCCUCUGCGUCUUCUCUCCGGAUUUCAGAGGUAUGAGUAGAGAAGGUUUACUAAACCAAGAAGGCUGAUCGAUAACCUAUUUUUCCGCGUGUCUGGCGUGGCGCCAGAAUUCUUGGUGUGUGGCUGCUGACUCUUUGACAUCGCAAACAAUGUAAAGCUGCGGUCGAGAUUUCUGCAAUUUGUCAGCCGUUUUGCUUGACAACGGUUAACGGCAGACAAUUGGCAUAAUCAGUUUUCAACAAACUUGGCUAUUUGGAAUUCUUCAAUAAGGAACGAAAUAUGACGUAAUUCUAC